rnacentral:tRNA from 1 species
GUUUUAGUAAUUUAAAAAAAAUAUUAGUCUUGUAAACUAAAAAUAAAAAUAAUUUUCUAAAACU